UCGAUAUCCAGGCUUACAGCGAGAGGCU
rnacentral:sRNA from 1 species